UUGGAUGUGGGGGUUUUUGCUGGCUUCCUUCAGUGGAUGGUCUGCUCCCCUUAAAUGCAUUAGUGGGAUCUCUUGUGGACCGUCACUUGGUGUGAUAACUAUCUACGCUAUUGUGAAGGGAAGUUCAGCUUUCUAACUGUCUUUGGACAAUUCAUCAUUAAUGUGACCUCAAAUCAGGUAGGACUACCCGCUGAACUUAA
rnacentral:misc_RNA from 1 species